rnacentral:lncRNA from 1 species
CCCAGCCUAUUAUUUCUAAUACAGUUUUUUUUUUGUUUUUUUUUUUACUAUUCUUACUUCUACAAGUUAUUUACAAGAUGAAUCAAAAGAUAGAUGAUAGAUAAAUAGACAGAUACAGAUAGAUAAUUAAAAGCGUCCAUUGGACCUAAAUGGUAAAAGGUGAUUAUUUUUCCUGGUAUUCUGAGGGUUAAGGCCUCACAUGAUUCCUGUAACUCUACAAGUUACUUAUUAGUUGAGUAAACCUGAAAGAGAUUAAGAAUUCGGUGGCCUUUGUGAGGCACUGCCCCACCCUGCCCACCAGGCUCUGCCGCUCCAUGGCAACUCCAGCCAGCUCCUCCCUCCCCCUGCCACCAGCUGGUGAAGUCACCAGAACUGCCACCCUCGGGCAUUGUGGGGCAAUGAAGAGUUCUGGCUGCUGAGGUAGCAGGACUGAGACCGGGGCUGGACCCUGACUGAGACCCAGGAGCCAGCAGCCUCUAGCCACUCCAGUCACAGGCACAGCCCAGGGACCCACCGCCACGCCCUCCUGCAAGAUAAAGGAAGCAGCAACUCAGACAUCAGGGUGGACACACCCACCAAAACACAAGGAGAGGCCCUGAAAAGUAACUGGAAAGUCACAGACCGUUCUGGCAAGUGGAGUUGAUGAGAAACAGGCCCCAGAGACUCGGAUUGGAGCGAGAGAGUUCCAUGGGCUCAGCUGGGAAAUGAGGCACAAGGAGCCAGCCCCAGAACAGAGACCCCUCCAAAGCCAACAGCUCCAGAACCGCCUCUUGCCACAACAUUCAAUGCCCUGGCUUUGAUGUUUUGUGUCUCUUGCUGACUCACAAACUUGGGAGGUAACUGGCUUUCCCUAUCAAAAAUUACUAACCCUUGAGGGGCAAUUUCGCGAUAGCUGUCAACAUUUUCAAUGUUCAUAAUCUGGACACCAUUGAUUCUGCCUACUUUCAGGGGUUUUUCCUCAGAUAUGCCCAGACAUACACAGGAUUUCUGGAUCAUUGAUUAGGGAAAAAAUGAUGCCAUCUAAUUGUCUUUCAUCAAGAACCCACUAUUUGGCUGGGUGCAGUGGCUCACACCUGUAAUCCCAGCACUUUAAGA